CGGCGAGUGAAGCGGCAAUAGCUCAAAUUUGAAAGCUGGCGUCUUCGACGUCCGCGUUGUAAUUUGUAGAGGAUGCUUCGGCAAGGACUCCUGCCUAAGUCCCCUGGAACGGGGCGUCACAGAGGGUGAGAAUCCCGUAUGUGGCGGGCGGUCCAAGCCAUGUGAAGCUCCUUCGACGAGUCGAGUUGUUUGGGAAUGCAGCUCUAAAUGGGAGGUAAAUUUCUUCUAAAGCUAAAUAUUGGCCAGAGACCGAUAGCGCACAAGUAGAGUGAUCGAAAGAUGAAAAGCACUUUGGAAAGAGAGUUAAAAAGUACGUGAAAUUGUUGAAAGGGAAGCGCUUGCAACCAGACUCGCUCGCAGUUGCUCAGCCGGCCUCUUGGCCGGUGUACUCUUCUGCGAUCGGGCCAGCAUCAGCUCGGGCGGCCGGAUAAAGGUGUCGGGAAUGUAGCACCCUUCGGGGUGUGUUAUAGCCCGGCGCGGAAUGCGGCCAGCCUGGGCUGAGGAUCUCGCUUCGGCAAGGAUGCUGGCGUAAUGGUUGUAAGCGGCCCGUCUUGAAACACGGACCAAGGAGUCUAACAUCUAUGCGAGUGUUUGGGUGUCAAACCCAUGCGCGUAAUGAAAGUGAACGGAGGUGGGAACCCUUCACGGGGUGCACCAUCGACCGAUCCUGAUGUCUUCGGAUGGAUUUGAGUAAGAGCAUAGCUGUUGGGACCCGAAAGAUGGUGAACUAUGCCUGAAUAGGGUGAAGCCAGAGGAAACUCUG
rnacentral:rRNA from 1 species